rnacentral:misc_RNA from 1 species
AAAGGAUAAGGAAUUCCAAGUACACCAUCACCCUGUCUCUCCAUCCACAAUGCUGAUCUUGGAUAUGAUCGAUGAUGCACUGGGUUACUGACUCCAGAAGAAAUCAUUGCUUCUUCUGAGGAGCCAGAAGGACCAGAAUGCAGCGGAGAAUGUGCGUUGCUCUGGCCUCCAGAAUCCGCACCAGCAGAAGAAAAUAGAGAACGGCGAACAUAUUCAGCUAAUCUACGUGAAUUUCUUGAAGAAGGAUUUGGAUGAGACACCCAACUUGGAGGUGAUAAAGGACGGACACCCGAGCUUGAGCCAGACCGCGAUGUAGAAGCAACAUUUCCACCAGUGACACUUCUAUUCGUUGGAUUUCUAACCGAGGUUCUCAACUCAGUUGCAGGUACAAACAUAGGAUGUUCCCAAAUGUUUCUCGAUAUGUUUCUCGAGCCGGCUUCCUCCCUAUCACUCAAAGCAAUAGAACUUGAUGAGCUACCAGUUCUGGUGCUAGAGCUUUCAUUCCACCUAAAUGACU